AGCGAACGCUGGCGGCAGGCCUAACACAUGCAAGUCGAACGGACCCUUCGGGGUUAGUGGCGGACGGGUGAGUAACACGUGGGAACGUGCCUUUAGGUUCGGAAUAGCUCCUGGAAACGGGUGGUAAUGCCGAAUGGGCCCUUCGGGGGGAAGAUUUAUCGCCUUUAGAGCGGCCCGCGUCUGAUUAGCUAGUUGGUGAGGUAAUGGCUCACCAAGGCGACGAUCAGUAGCUGGUCUGAGAGGAUGACCAGCCACAUUGGGACUGAGACACGGCCCAAACUCCUACGGGAGGCAGCAGUGGGGAAUCUUGCGCAAUGGGCGAAAGCCUGACGCAGCCAUGCCGCGUGGAUGAUGAAGGUCUUAGGAUUGUAAAAUCCUUUCACCGGUGAAGAUAAUGACUGUAGCCGGAGAAGAAGCCCCGGCUAACUUCGUGCCAGCCGCCGCCGUAAUAC
rnacentral:rRNA from 1 species